UGUUUGCAGCGAAUGACCUGAAGCUUCGCUCCUCAGAGUCACCGGCGGACGGGUGAGUAAUGCCUAGGAAUCUGCCUGGUAGUGGGGGACAACGUUUCGAAAGGAACGCUAAUACCGCAUACGUCCUACGGGAGAAAGCAGGGGACCUUCGGGCCUUGCGCUAUCAGAUGAGCCUAGGUCGGAUUAGCUAGUUGGUGGGGUAAUGGCUCACCAAGGCGACGAUCCGUAACUGGUCUGAGAGGAUGAUCAGUCACACUGGAACUGAGACACGGUCCAGACUCCUACGGGAGGCAGCAGUGGGGAAUAUUGGACAAUGGGCGAAAGCCUGAUCCAGCCAUGCCGCGUGGGUGAAGAAGGUCUUCGGAUUGUAAAGCACUUUAAGUUGGGAGGAAGGGCAGUAAAUUAAUACUUUGCUGUUUUGACGUUACCGACAGAAUAAGCACCGGCUAACUCUGUGCCAGCAGCCGCCGGUAAUUAAC
rnacentral:rRNA from 1 species